rnacentral:rRNA from 1 species
UACGUAGGGUGCAAGCGUUAAUCGGAAUUACUGGGCGUAAAGCGUGCGCAGGCGGUUCUAUAAGACAGAUGUGAAAUCCCCGGGCUCAACCUGGGAACUGCAUUUGUGACUGUAGAGCUGGAGUACGGCAGAGGGGGAUGGAAUUCCGGGUGUAGCGGCGGAAUGCGUAGAGAUCCGGAAGAACACCGGUGGCGAAGGCGGUUAGCUGGGCAGUUGCUGGACACUGAGGAGCGAAAGCGUGGGGAGCGAACAGG